rnacentral:rRNA from 1 species
AAUGCCUACGGGGGGCAGCAGUGGGGAAUAUUGCACAAUGGGGGGAACCCUGAUGCAGCGACGCCGCGUGAGUGAAGAAGUAUUUCGGUAUGUAAAGCUCUAUCAGCAGGGAAGAUAAUGACGGUACCUGACUAAGAAGCCCCGGUUAACUACGUGCCAGCAGCCGCGGUAAUACGUAGGUGGCAAGCGUUAUCCGGAUUUAUUGGGUGUAAAGGGCGUGUAGGCGGGAAUGCAAGUCAGAUGUGAAAACUAUGGGCUCAACCCAUAGCCUGCAUUUGAAACUGUAUUUCUUGAGUGCUGGAGAG